ACGAACGCUGGCGGCAGGCCUAAAACAUGCAAGUCGAACGCUCUAGCAAUAGAGAGUGGCGCACGGGUGCGUAACACGUGGGAAUAUGCCUUUUGGUACGGAACAACGUCUGGAAACGGACGCUAAUACCGUAUGGUCCCUUCGGGGUAAAGAUUUAUCGCCAAAAGAGUAGCCCGCGCUGGAUUAGCUAGUUGGUGAGGUAAUGGCUCACCAAGGCGACGAUCCAUAGCUGGUCUGAGAGGACGAUCAGCCACACUGGGACUGAGACACGGCCCAGACUCCUACGGGAGGCAGCAGUUAGGAAUAUUGGACAAUGGGGGCAACCCUGAUCCAGCCAUGCCGCGUGAGUGAUGAAGGCCUUCGGGUUGUAAAGCUCUUUAGCCGAUGAUUAUAAUGCCUGUCGUCGGAAAAUAAGCCCCGGCUACCUUCGU
rnacentral:rRNA from 1 species